rnacentral:misc_RNA from 1 species
GAUGAAGAACGUAGCGAAAUGCGAUAAGUAAUGUGAAUUGCAGAAUUCAGUGAAUCAUCGAAUCUUUGAACGCACAUUGCGCCCGCCAGUAUUCUGGCGGGCAUGCCUGUUCGAGCGUCAUUACAACCCUCAGGCCCCCGGGCCUGGCGUUGGGGAUCGGCGGAGCCCCCCGUGGGCACACGCCGUCCCCCAAAUGCAGUGGCGGUCCCGCCGCAGCUUCCAUCGCGUAGUAGCUAACACCUCGCGACUGGAGAGCGGCGCGGCCACGCCGUAAAACACCCAACUCUUCUGAAGUUGACCUCGAAUCAGGUAGGAAUACCCGCUGAACUUAAGAAUAUCAAUAAGCGGAGGA